rnacentral:rRNA from 1 species
GACGAACGCUGGCGGCGUGCUUAACACAUGCCAGUCGAACGGAAAGGCCCUGCUUUUGUGGGGUGCUCGAGUGGCGAACGGGUGAGUAACACGUGAGUAACCUGCCCUUGACUUUGGGAUAACUUCAGGAAACUGGGGCUAAUACCGGAUAGGAGCUCCUGCUGCAUGGUGGGGAUUGGAACGUUUCGGCGGUUGGGGAUGGACUCGCGGCUUAUCAGCUUGUUGGUGGGGUAGUGGCUUACCCAGGCUUUGACCGGUCGGCGGCCUGGGAGGGUGACCGGCCACAAUGGGACUGCGAGACGGCCCAGACUCCUACGGGAGGCAGCAGUGGGGAAUAUUGCACAAUGGGCGGAAGCCUGAUGCAGCAACGCCGCGUGCGGGAUGACGGCCUUCGGGUUGUAAACCGCUUUCGCCUGUGACGAAGCGUGAGUGACGGUAAUGGGUAAAGAAGCACCGGCUAACUACGUG